rnacentral:sRNA from 1 species
UUGUAAACGAGGAUCUAGUUUUAUGGAUUACCUGUGGAACGUAUCACAUUCCACGAACUGAAGAUUUGCCCCUGAAGAGCAGCGUCGGUCCAAAGGUUGGGUUCACUUUACUGCCUUUCAAUUAUCACAACGAGUGCCCCUCUAUGUCGUCACGUGAUGCAGUUUACAUCCAGCACAGAAACCCACUGGACCAUAGACAAGGAGUGGACAUUACACGAAACGGCAAUCGCAACGACCAAUGUCUUACACCAGAGUCUACGCUAGAGAAAGAUCUUCUCUCCAAUCCAGACCUAGUUCUUGAGACCAACCACCAAAAUUAUAAUUAUUAAUAUAUUCAAAUGUUCUUGCAAGUUUUAUAAAUUCCAUUAAAAUUUAAAUAAUAA